rnacentral:misc_RNA from 1 species
CACUACAUAGGCCAUGACGGAAGUACUUCUUGUCGCAAAGUGCUCGUUUCUCUCAAACAUCUCGGCCUUAAACAAAACUAUUUUCAACUAAACUAAGGAACAAAAGGUCGAAGUGAGAACCGAUCGACCGACGAGCUCUUUCAGCCGUUUUUAAAAGACGAUUGGGGGAAAUGCACCAGCGAAGACAAUGGAGGAGAUCGAGAUUAACACUUCUGAGAAAGUAGAAAUUCCAUCGGAAUAUAAAGGUUUGAUAAUUGGUAGGCUGGGAGCUAAUCUUCGUGAGUUAAGCAAGGAAACAGGAGCAGAAAUAACGCGGAAAGAUUGGGAAGUGUAUAUUACGAAAGGGACAAAGAAGCAAAGGGAGCAUGUCAAACUGCUCAUUGGAAUCAAAAUUGCUAGAGGAAGACUUAGAGGUAGGAAAAACGAACUCAAAAUCUGUGGCUUCAUUGAUGGCUGGAAUCUCUCUGAAAACUGUAAACUGAAGUUGGUUUUGGUCACAGAUAAAGAAGGGCUGUAUCGACUGAGACCUUCAAGUGAAGUGGGCCAACAGAAAUCUGUAAGUGACUCAACUUAUCUGUCGGGACUUCAAGACGCCGUGUUGGAGUCACUUCGUAAAAUGAAAGGCCGUGAAGAAGCAAAGAAUCCUUUAGAGGCUGAUCUCUGGUGUCAUUUUGGAUCGGCUGUUAUCCGGGGACCCAGUGAAGGAGAAUGGAGCAUAGAUGAUGCAGCAACAAGGUUUCAAUAUUCAGCCGAUGGAAAUUAUUGGAAGGUUGCAUUUCAAGAAGGCGUGGAUUUUAUGGCAGAUUCGUUCGAAAACUAUUUCUAUGAAAGUACACCGAAAGAAUAUCGUGAUUACGCCGCAAGAUAUGACUUAACAUUCCUUACUCCAUGCAGUCAUCAAUUGAGAUGCAAGGUAUGGGUCACAAAAAAGGAUGGUAAGGAGAAGCUAGAAGGUAUCCCAAUCCCAGUCACUGACGUCAGAAAUAUCAUGGAAGAGAUUCACUUCACCGAUGAAUCCACUCGGUUGCGAAGUCGAGGCUGGGUGGUUCUCCCGUCGCGGAGAUGUUUGCAAGCCGAUAUUUUGUUUCCCGGGUGUGAGUUUGAUUGCAGACUCAUAAUCAAUGAACAUGCAGGAAGGGCCAAAACUGUAGAUUAUAAGCCUAAAGAAGAAGUUAUACGUGUGUUAGCAAGAUAUCUAUCAGGGCUGACUUUGACGGAUGAUGACCCGUUUGGCUUGAUACUUCCCGGCGAGUAUGAGAUGCCCAAGGGAUUUCAUUUGAUUCACAAGCGGCUUUCCAAACGAAAUGUGUACACGUCUAAACCUGGUUUCAGUGUUAUCCUGUCGAAGGAAACCUCGUGGAGUGCUGAUGUGACAGGUGGAAGUUGCAGAGAUUCGGCUGAUGUACAUCUGCAUUGCGAGGAGUGGGACAGGCUACUCAGUGGUGGUCAGUGGGAACCCGAGAGUUUAGUGCAACAGCUGCCAGAGUUUCUCGAGUUUGUCAAGGAAGUUCAGUGCUUUGUUGUUGCUGCCUUGAGGAGUAAUGGAGUAGAAAGAAAAGUUCCUCCAGUGAUUCGUGCUCGAGGUCCUUUAGCUUUGGCAACCUACUUAAAUGCCUUAGCUGAUGGUCAAGCAUGUGUCAAGAGAGUGCCUUUAAUGAUAGUUGGACAGGAUCGAUCUGGAAAAACCAGCGUAAAGAAGUCCUUGAAAGGGAUUUGCUUCAACCCAGAAGAGGAUAGCACCCGGGGAAUUGACGUCGAUCGUUAUCAUUUUAGAGUAACCACUGAAAUAUGGACGACAGGAAAAAAAGACGAGGAGGCCAACAUUGGUACUGAAGUUAUUUCAUUUAAGGAGAAGACAGCACGGUGGGUUGCCGAGAAACUGACUACGCGUGAAAAAGUUGCUGAAGUCAAAAGAACAAGCUCAGCCGAGCCAAAUGAAGAAAUUGUCACCCCAGAGGAAAGUGAACCCAAUGAAACUCCAAACUUAGCAGACCUUUCAGAAUCAUCCAGGAAUCCAGUAUCAACCAAUACCACCAAGAAUAGACUUCAAUUACAAACGGGAGAAGCACGAAAUCCCAUUGAAUUAGAGCAAGAAGAAGAUUUUCUUACCACCGCCCUGAAAAAAUUGCCAGAUUUCGACGAAGUUGCGAAGGUACUUCCCCAACUCCUUCAAGACAACUGGGAAGACGAUAGAGAGGAUAUCUAUUCAGUAAUCUGGGACUUUGCCGGACAGUCAGUGUACUACGUGACGCAUCCCCUCUUUCUCACAGGAAGGGCAGUCUACUUUCUGGUCUAUGACUUGAGCAGAAAUCCAAGCGAGAAAGCCACACCAUUGGUGAAGCAGGGAGUUUAUAGAGUAAUUGAAGAUAGAUAUAAUCUGAAAACGAACUUUGAUUAUUUAGACUUUUGGAUGAGUUCUUUGGCUUCCUUAUUAGAACAGAGUGAUUGCCAACAAGUGGACCCCGUAACGGAGGUACCUUUGAAGAAAUUUCCAGCCGUCUUCCUGGUGUGCACACAUGCUGAUCAGCCCUAUUGUGAUCGUAAUCCAUUUGAUCUAGCCAAAGAAAUAUUUGGCGAUUUGAAGAGCAAGCCAUAUAGUGCCCACUUGUUUGACGUGUUUUGUGUUGAUAACACUAAGUCUGGCACUGAAUCCGAAUGCAAAGAAACCAUGCGCUUACGAGAGGCCGUACAGGACGUUUCUAAAGGGUUACCACACGUAAACGAGGCCAUUCCGAUUAAGUGGUUAAGAUACGAACAUUUCCUUCGUGUCCUUAAGGAAAAUGACCAUCAUAAGUUUAUCUCCUUCUCUAUAGCGAAAGAUAUAGCUUUCAAAUUUUUUAACAUUAACGACAACGAGGUACAGACACUGCUAAACUUUUUGCACGAUCUUCGAGUUUUAAUUCACUUUGACGAUUCUCCAGAAUUGAGUGAGAUAGUUUUCUUGGAUAUUCAGUGGUUGAUUGAUGUGUUCAAGAAUGUAAUUACUGUCACGGCCUAUCACGAAGAGAAGAGCUUUGCUCAUCUUUGGAAGAAACUCGAGAUAGAAGGAAUCCUGGAAGAAAAACUCUUAAAACAUGUUUGGAGCUCUUUGAUUCCUCAGACAGAAACCCACGAGAGUCUUAUUGAAAUUAUGAAGAGAUUUAGCCUUUUGUGUCCUUGGCCACAGCCAUCAUCACACGAAGUUCCCGGCAAACGUUACAUAGUGCCAUCUAUGUUGCGAACGCGUCCACCAGCGGAGAUACCUAAGCUUGUUGAAUCUGCAAAAAUUCCAUCUCUUUUUCUAAAAUUUGACACAGAUCGGGUCCCUCUAGGCUUAUUUCCCCGAUUUGUACUAGAAUUCUUUCAGUGGUGCAGAAAGGAAUUGCCUCGCUUAACUUUGCCACAACUUUACCACAAUUUUGCCAGAUUUAACAAAUUUCCGACUCAAGGAAGCUCUGUGGUUUUCCUUUGCCACCAUUCCACAAUCGAGGUCCUUGUCCUAAGUGUAGAAAGUGAUAUUAAUAUUGCCUCAAUUCGAGCAUUUAGGAGCCAGCUAACCUCGAUCAUUGAUCAAUUUGGGAGCAAGUACUUCUGGGUGAAGAACGUUGGAUGCAAGGUGUGUUUCUUAUGUCCUGUUUGUUCCCGUGGACGCGUGGUCAGCUUGUGCACACUCCAUUACGAAGAACGUUGUGAGCAAGAGGAAUGCCUUCACUUCAUUUCAGAGUCAGAUUUAGGUGACGAAAUGCACGCCGUUUGCACCAGGUCUGUAGCCGCUGUGGAUAACCGAAUUCAGGUCGAGAGCUUCUCUCCAUGGAUUUUCUCUGCUGAAGAUAAGGUUAAGAAAAUAAGGAGAUGGAGGCUUCUCAAAGUGAUGAGAGACUCCAAGCUAUUGUGCAAGAUGGAAACGAGAAGACACCUUUGUUACCUUUCAAAGCUGUAGCACCCGUUCAGUUACAACCACUAGUAGGCGCUGAAAGCGAUGGGAAACUGGUUCCUUUUGCACAAGGGAAUGGAGACAAAUCUCUCGUUCUGCCUCAAAAAGUUAGCGAAUCUCUCCAGUUAACAUUAGUCUCUCCAAAAGAGAUUGUAGAUA